GACGAACGCUGGCGGCGUGCUUAACACAUGCAAGUCGAACGAGACGAUUGAAAGCUUGCUUUUAAAAGUCGAGUGGCAAACGGGUGAGUAACGCGUAGACAACCUGCCUUUGAGAUGGGGACAACAGUUCGAAAGGACUGCUAAUACCGAAUGUUGUAUAUUUUCCACAUGGAAGAUAUAUUAAAGAUGGCCUCUAUUUAUAUGCUAUCGCUCAAAGAUGGGUCUGCGUCUGAUUAGCUAGUUGGUGGGGUAACGGCCUACCAAGGCGACGCUCGGUAGCCGGUCUGAGAGGAUGAACGGCCACAUUGGGACUGAGACACGGCCCAGACUCCUACGGGAGGCAGCAGUGGGGAAUCUUCCACAAUGGACGAAAGUCUGAUGGAGCAACGCCGCGUGAGUGAAGAAGGGUUUCGGCUCGUAAAGCUCUGUUGUCGGGGACGAAUGUGCAGUAUUUGAAUAAAGUACUGCAAUGACGGUACCUGACGAGGAAGCCACGGCUAACUACGUGCCAGCAGCCGCGGUAA
rnacentral:rRNA from 1 species